rnacentral:misc_RNA from 1 species
UCGCUUGCGUUUGCUCCUUUCUCCAGUUACAUAGUUUCUGUUUCUCCGUAGAACUUUUGAAACUCCAGUUUGAUGUGAUCCACUGGUGCUACAAUCUUCGCAAUUGCUGGUUGAUUCAAAAGCAUAUCUGAACUCAGCGUCAGUUCCUUGUGUGCCAUUCAUAUCCACAUUAUUUUCAGUAGAACCAUCCAUAUGAGCCUUACACAUAGAAGUUUCAAGAUCUGAAUGUUUACUGGUAGC